ACAAAGCCUCCGUAGAUACUUUCUAAGCCUUGACAUCAUGUGAAUAUUAUGUCUUGUGUGGGCCACACUGGGAACUGGGGCAGGACAGGUCACUGCUUCUCAUGCCUCUGUGUUUUGCUUGUGCUACUGCCUCUCCUUAGAAAGCUAACCUCCUAGGGAACCUUUAAGGCUCAUUCAAAUGUCAUUUCCUUGAUGAAGCUUUUUCCCAUACCUGCACCUCCCCAGGCCAAAUCAGGUGUGUCCCUUCCUUUGAAGUUUCAUAGCACCCUGAUAAGGAACUCAUCACACUAUCUACUUGCCUUUCUAUCUCCUCCGCCAGACUGUUUGUGCCGUAAGGGCUGAGAUAAUGUCUUAUUUAACUUUUUCUCCUGAUGCCUAGUGUAGUAUUCCUGUAAAUGCUUAUGGAGUGAUGGGAGGUGAAAAGGAAGAACAAUGGGAUUCUGUCAGAUCAAGUAGCUCUUGGAAGUGAAAAUCUGUGGGGGCUUAAAUUUAGGCACAAAACCCAGUAGCAUACAGCUGUUAGUAAAGUGGUAAAACUUCAGUUCCAAAGAACCAGCUUUCAAAGUCUACUCUGCCCUCCCACAGGUCAGAAUGUCUUCCUUGGGCAUAAGAGGCUCAGACACACGUCCUGCUCAGCCUCUGUGACAAGCCUGCUGCCUCCAUUCUGGCUGACCAGCAGAGGGCCAGUUUCAAACCACAGGUGCUUGCAAGUCAGCAUCAGAUUCCUGGCCCUACUAUCCUAUUUAUAACUCACUGUAUACUUAACUCAAGGUUUUUUCAACACCUGGACAGCAACUGAAGUGUCUUGACAACAGCACCAUCUAGUGACUGGUACAGCAAAACGUCUGACUGGACAGACAUGGCAAGACUCCAUCUACGAAUCAGAAGACAGCCCUCACCAGACACCAAACAUGCCAGCAUCUUGAUCUUGGAUUUCCCAACCUCCAGUACUGUGAGAAAUAA
rnacentral:lncRNA from 10 species